UUCGUAGGCGGUGCGGCAAGUCGGGAGUGAAAUCUCUGGGCUUAACUCAGAGGCUGCUUUCGAAACUGCCGCGCUCGAGUGCGGGAGAGGCCAGUGGAAUUGCAGGUGUAGCGGUGAAAUGCGUAGAUAUCUGCAGGAACACCCGUGGCGAAGGCGGCUGGCUGGACCGCAACUGACGCUGAGGAACGAAAGCUAGGGGAGCAAACAGGAUUAGAUACCCUGGUAGUCCUAGCCCUAAACCAUCAGGACUUGGGGUGGCCCGCGUAGGCGGGUCGUCCCGUAGCUAACGCGUUAAGUCCUGCGCCUGGGGAGUACGGUCGCAAGACUGAA
rnacentral:rRNA from 1 species